GGUGAACGCUGGCGGCGUGCCUAAGACAUGCAAGUCGUGCGGGCCGUGGGGUUUCUCGCGGCCAGCGGCGGACGGGUGAGUAACGCGUGGAUGACCUACCUGGAAGAGGGGGACAACCUGGGGAAACCCAGGCUAAUCCCCCAUGUGGACGCGUCCUGUGGGGCGUGUUCAAAGGGUCUUGCCCGCUUCCGGAUGGGUCCGCGUCCCAUCAGCUGGUUGGUGGGGUAAGAGCCCACCAAGGCGACGACGGGUAGCCGGUCUGAGAGGAUGGCCGGCCACAGGGGCACUGAGACACGGCCCCCACUCCUACGGGAGGCAGCAGUUAGGAAUCUUCCGCAAUGGACGCAAGUCUGACGGAGCGACGCCGCUUGGAGGAGGAAGCCCUUCGGGGUGUAAUCUUCUGAACCCGGGACGACACCCCUGAUGAGGGGACUGACGGUACCGGGGUAAUAGCGCCGGCCAACUCCGUGCCAGCAGCCGCGGUAAUACGGAGGGCGCGAGCGUUACCCG
rnacentral:rRNA from 1 species